UCUGGUGGCGAGUGGCGAACGGGUGAGUAAUAUAUCGGAACGUGUCCAAUAAUGGGGGAUAACUAGUCGAAAGAUUAGCUAAUACCGCAUACGCCCUGAGGGGGAAAGUGGGGGAUCUUCGGACCUCACGUUAAUGGAGCGGCCGAUAUCUGAUUAGCUAGUUGGUAGGGUAAAAGCCUACCAAGGCGACGAUCAGUAGCUGGUCUGAGAGGAUGAUCAGCCACACUGGGACUGAGACACGGCCCAGACUCCUACGGGAGGCAGCAGUGGGGAAUUUUGGACAAUGGGCGCAAGCCUGAUCCAGCCAUGCCGCGUGAGUGAAGAAGGCCUUCGGGUUGUAAAGCUCUUUCGCAAGGAAAGAGAACUUACAUGUAAAUAAUGUGUGAGGUUGACGGUACCUUGAUAAGAAGCACCGGCUAACUACGUGCCAGCAGCCGCGGUAAUACGUAGGGUGCAAGCGUUAAUCGGAAUUACUGGGCGUAAAGCGAGCGCAGGCGGUUUUGUAAGUCAGAUGUGAAAGCCCCGGGCUCAACCUGGGAACUGCGUUUGAAACUACAAGGCUAGAGUAUGGGAGAGGGGGGUAGAAUUCCACGUGUAGCAGUGAAAUGCGUAGAGAUGUGGAGGAAUACCAAUGGCGAAGGCAGCCCCCUGG
rnacentral:rRNA from 1 species